AAGAGUGAGUGAAUCUGUUUAAGAUAGUUUUGGUUGCUCCAAGAAUCUACAGAGCCAAGCAAUACGUAAUGGGAAGCGCAUAAAGACAAUCAAUUAUGCAAUUGAAGGUUGCUUGGCUGAAAUAUUUGGUUACUAUGGAUGCACAAACAAUAGCGAAGACAAUUUUGCAUCAGUUUUAUGGCCAAGUCGUACUAUGGUAUGCAAUUUGAAGAUUGCUUUCAAGAGUAGUUUGUCAUUAAUUAAAUCUUAGAAGUUUCUAAAGCUAAAAAUUGAAAAGGUAUAGGUGUGUUAGUUUUUGGAGAGAUUUUAUGUUCUAGAUGUUGGAAUACUUGUUACUAAUUCUUUGUAAUUUUGAACCAUUGAAAUUAAUGAAUUACUUUUAA